UGGGGAAUUUUCCGCAAUGGGCGAAAGCCUGACGGAGCAAUACCGCGUGAGGGAAGAAUGCCUAUGGGUUGUAAACCUCUUUUUUCAGGGAGGAAUAAAAUGACGUGUACCUGAAGAAUAAGCAUCGGCUAACUCCGUG
rnacentral:rRNA from 1 species